AAGUGGGUAUAUUUUGGGUUUGAGAAUGAAAAAAAAAAUGGGUAGAACUUGAGACUAUCUAAGAAAAUGGUAGAAUGAUGAGAACAAAGCAUUGUAUGCAUGAAUUGCUCCUUUUCUUAGAUAAAUUUUGGAUAAUGAUCUUGCUCAUAUUCUUGAGUGUAAGUCACCAAUAAAAAAUGCAUUUGAAAACCUUCUUUCUUCACAUUAGACCAUCUUCUCUCACCAAGCCAAAUGAUUGAGAUCAAAUGUCCAUUUGCAAGAAUUCACCUUGUGUGUGUG
rnacentral:lncRNA from 1 species